rnacentral:rRNA from 1 species
CGUAGGAGGCAAGCGUUAUCCGGAUUCACUGGGCGUAAAGCGCGUGCAGGCGGUGCGGUAAGUUGGGCGUGAAAUCUCCCGGCUCAACUGGGGAGAGGUCGUCCAAUACUACCGGACUUGAGAGCAGAAGAGGAAAAUGGAAUUCCCGGUGUAGUGGUGAAAUGCGUAGAUAUCGGGAGGAACACCAGUGGCGAAGGCGAUUUUCUGGUCUGUUUCUGACGCUCAGACGCGACAGCUAGGGUAGUAAACGGGAUUAGAGACCCCGGUAAUCCUAGCCGUAAACGAUGUGAACUUGGCGUUCGGUGGGUUAAACUCCAUCAGUGCCGCAGCAAACGCGAUAAGUUCACCGCCUGGGGACUACGGCCGCAAGGUUA